GAUGAACGCUGGCGGCGUGCCUAAUACAUGCAAGUCGAGCGAACAGACGAGAGUGCUUGCACUCUCUGACGUUAGCGGCGGACGGGUGAGUAACACGUGGGUAACCUACCUAUAAGACUGGGAUAACUUCGGGAAACCGGAGCUAAUCCCGGAUAAUAUUUAGCUUCGCAUGAAGCAAUAGUGAAAGACGUUUCUGCUGUCACUUAUAGAUGGACCCGCGGUGUAUUAGCUAGUUGGUGAGGUAACGGCUCACCAAGGCAACGAUACAUAGCCGACCUGAGAGGGUGAUCGGCCACACUGGGACUGAGACACGGCCCAGACUCCUACGGAAGGCAGCAGUAGGGAAUCUUCCGCAAUGGACGGAAGUCUGACGGAGCAAUGCCGCGUGAGUGAAGAAGGUUUUCGGAUCGUAAAACUCUGUUGUAAGGGAAGAACAAGUACGUUAGUAACUGAACGUACCUUGACGGUACCUUACCAGAAAGCCACGGCUAACUACGUG
rnacentral:rRNA from 1 species